rnacentral:tRNA from 1 species
UCCCAACUAGCUCUGUUGGUAGAGCAUGAGACUCAUAAUCUCAGGGAGGUGGCUUUGUGUCCCACAUUGGCAC